AUGACGACAAAGGAGUUUUCACUCCAGUUACUAAAAGAAAUUACGGAUAAUUUUUCUGAGAAGCACAUCAUUGGUCAUGGUGGCUAUGGAGUAGUUUACAAGCAGGGAGUGCUGGCUGAUGGGGAAGAGAUUGCUCUCAAAAGGCUUUAUCCCGUGCCUGGGCUUGAUGACACGCAAUUUACGAACGAGUUUAAUAAUCUUAUGAAGGCCCAACAUCCAAAUGUUACCCGGCUGAUUGGCUACUGUUAUAAUGUAAAAAAUGAACGCGUUAAGCUCAAUGAUAAGUAUGUUUUUGCCCAUUCGGAUGAAAAAGUUCUAUGCUUCGAAUACUUGAAGGGUGGAAGCCUUGACAAGCACAUUUCAGAUGAAUCGUGCGGACUCAAUUGGCACACCCGCUUCAAAAUUAUUAAGGGCAUUUGUGAGGGCUUAAAUUAUCUUCACAAUGGAUCCAAAGAUCCUAUUUACCAUCUUGACUUGAAACCCGAGAAUAUAAUGUUGGACGAGAAUAUGGUCCCCAAAAUUGGAGAUUUUGGUUUGUCGAGACUCUUCCCUUCAGCGCGAACCUAUGUCACAAUCAAAGUCAUAGGAACAAUUGGAUACAUGCCACCAGAAUUCAUCGAGAGACGCGAAAUUACAUCAAAGUUUGAUAUAUUCAGUUUGGGUGUUACAAUCACGAGGAUAGUGGCUGGAUAUGACGGCUACUCCAAAUGUGCACGCAUGUCUCUAGAAGAAUUUAUUAAGCAUGUGCAUGAAAACUGGGAAAAACGGUUACAAGACACAAUGUCGUCGUACACACCAGAGCAAGUUACAACAUGCAUCAAAAUAGCAUUAAGCUGCGUGGAAAACACGCGUGAGAAAAGGCCUAAUAUUGCCGAAAUUGUUGAUAAACUGAACAUGGUUGAUACAACAGAAAGUUUAUCUACAAGCCAGAUCGCCAAGAAACGAAGCUGGAACUCAGGUGAUCAGUUUUUGAAACACCUACCAGAGCGGCUCAGCUUCUUCCCCGUUGGCGCGCGGGACGUUUUGUCGGCGCCGGCUGGCCCUUUCUCCCGCUUGUCCCCGCUCGGAGCCGGUGCCACGCUGGCGGAGUCGACGAAGAUGCUGGGAUGCCACGUGUACAGCAAAUACUUCGGCUCGCGCAAGGCGCGGGAGCGGUGGUGGCGAUCGCUGCUGGUGCUCUGGAUCAUCGGCUCCACGCUCGCCUCCUUCCACCUCUUCCACUACAUCAACUCCAACGCCGUCGAGAAGCGCCGGGACUCGCUCGCCAGCAUGUGCGACGAGCGCGCCCGCAUGCUCCAGGAUCAGUUCAACGUCAGCAUGAACCACCUCCAUGCCCUCGCCAUCCUCGUCAACACCUUCCACCACUCCGGGAAUCCUUCCUCCAUCAACCAGGUGACAUUCGCGACGUACAUGGAGAGGACGGCGUUCGAGCGGCCGCUGACAAGCGGGGUCGCUUACGCGGUGCGGGUCACGCACGCCGAGCGGGACCAGUUCGAGCGGCAGCAGGGGUGGAGCAUCAAGAAGAUGUACUCCCCGAAUUCGCAGGGGGAGGGGGACGCCGCCGGGGCGAUGAUCCGCGAGCCGGACGAGGAGUACGCCCCUGUCAUCUUCGCGCAGGACGCCUACAAGAACGUCAUCUCAUUUGACAUGCUCUCCGGCGCUGAUGAUCGCGAAAACAUCAUACGAGCUAGAGAAUCUGGGAGGGGUGCUCUGACUGCUCCUUUCCAGCUACUGAAUGGCCGCAUCGGUGUGAUCUUGACAUACUCUGUGUACACGUCCGAGGCCGUUGUAAAUGCGAGGCCGCAGGAGCUCAUCCAAGCUGCCAUAGGCUAUCUAGGUGCCAUAAUUGAUAUGGAAGCACUUGUUGAUAAGUUGCUUCAUCAGCUUGCGGGGAAGCAAUCCAUCAUGGUAAACGUGUAUGAUACUACUUAUGAGUACCCAAUCCGUAUGUACGGUUCGAAUGAUAAAGGCAGUGGGAUGUACCAUAACAGCUCGCUCAACUUUGGCGAUCCGUCUAGAAGGCAUGUGAUGCAUUGCAGGUGGCGAUGGAAAGAUGGAUCAAAGUUGGAUGUAUAA
rnacentral:rRNA from 1 species